AUUGAACGCUGGCGGCAUGCCUUACACAUGCAAGUCGAACGGUAACAGGUCUUCGGAUGCUGACGAGUGGCGAACGGGUGAGUAAUACAUCGGAACGUGCCUAGUAGUGGGGGAUAACUACUCGAAAGAGUGGCUAAUACCGCAUGAGAUCUACGGAUGAAAGCAGGGGAUCGCAAGACCUUGUGCUACUAGAGCGGCCGAUGGCAGAUUAGGUAGUUGGUGGGAUAAAAGCUUACCAAGCCGACGAUCUGUAGCUGGUCUGAGAGAACGAUCAGCCACACUGGGACGGAGACACGGCCCAGACUCAGACGGGAGGCAGCAGUUGGGAAUUUUGGACAAUGGGCGCAAGCCUGAUCCAGCAAUGCCGCGUGCAGGAUGAAGGCCUUCGGGUUGUAAACUGCUUUUGUACGGAACGAAAAGCCCUGGGUUAAUACCCUGGGGUCAUGACGGUACCGUAAGAAUAAGCACCGGCUAACUACGUGCCAGCCGCCGCAGUAACAC
rnacentral:rRNA from 1 species